UACGGAGGGUGCAAGCGUUAUCCGGAUUCACUGGGUUUAAAGGGUGCGUAGGUGGGUCUGUAAGUCAGUGGUGAAAUCUCCGUGCUUAACAUGGAAACUGCCAUUGAUACUAUAGGUCUUGAAUUUUCUGGAGGUAAGCGGAAUAUGUCAUGUAGCGGUGAAAUGCUUAGAUAUCGUCAAGAACACCGAUAGUGAAGACAGCUUACUAGACUUCAACUGACGCUGAGGCACGAAAGUGUGGGGAUCAAACAGG
rnacentral:rRNA from 1 species